UACGUAGGGUGCAAGCGUUGUCCGGAAUUAUUGGGCGUAAAGAGCUCGUAGGCGGUUUGUUGCGUCGGCUGUGAAAUCCCGAGGCUCAACCUCGGGUCUGCAGUCGAUACGAGCAAACUAGAGUGUUGCAGGGGAGACUGGAAUUCCUGGUGUAGCGGUGAAAUGCGCAGAUAUCAGGAGGAACACCGGUGGGCGAAGGCGGGUCUCUGGGCAACAACUGACGCUGGAGGAGCGAAAGCGUGGGGAGCGAACAGG
rnacentral:rRNA from 1 species